rnacentral:rRNA from 1 species
AUUAAACGCUGGCGGCAGGCCUAAUACAUGCAAGUCGAACGGCAGCACAGCAGAGCUUGCUCUGUGGGUGGCGAGUGGCGGACGGGUGAGGAAUACAUGGGAAUCUGCCCAGUCGUGGGGGAUAACGUAUGGAAACGUACGCUAAUACCGCAUGCGCCCUAAGGGGGAAAGCCGGGGACCGCAAGGCCUGGCGCGAUUGGAUGAGCCCAUGUUCGAUUAGCUAGUUGGCGGGGUAAAGGCCCACCAAGGCGACGAUCGAUAGCUGGUCUGAGAGGAUGAUCAGCCACACUGGAACUGAGACACGGUCCAGACUCCUACGGGAGGCAGCAGUAGGGAAUAUUGGACAAUGGGGGCAACCCUGAUCCAGCCAUGCCGCGUGAGUGAAGAAGGCCCUCGGGUUGUAAAGCUCUUUUGUCCGGAAGAAAGCAAUCGGUUAAUACCCGGUUGUUCUGACGGUACCGGAAGAAUAAGCACCGGCUAACUUCGUGCCAGC